CCUUUGAAAUUGAUAAUGUUAAUAAAGCGCCGGUACCCGGUUGCAUGAGGAGAAAUUAGGUCGUUCAGAAACCAGUUUUCAUCCACUCUCUAGAUACUUCGCCUUGACGAACCUGCCCACAAGGGAGGUGUCAGCGCGUGGCCCCAAGUCUCCCGCGAGCCGGGUAGGAAGCAAUGUGGGUCACCGACUCAGCGCGCUCGGCCCUGGAGGCUGCAGGCAGCGCCACACGCACCCGCCGGGACGCGCUGCUUUCCGCGGAGAACGGGGGCGAUCUGACCGAUUCCGUCCCCCGUUUCCUGCGCAUCCUUCGCCUGCACCUCCCGCCGACCCCUCCUGGGUUCCCCUGCUCCUGCUUCCUGUGGGAGGGCAGCGGCGUGCACCGCCCUCUCGGCCCGGGAACAGCUUCCUCCAACUCCGAGCUCGUGGCUCCGGGGUGCACGCACACCCCUCGCGAACACACCCCCUGCAGCCCCUGCCAAGCCCGCGGGCCUGCAACAAGUCCGGGACAGUGGGGGGAAACUUACGGCGGUGGCGACUGGCCUCGGCACACGGCGGGCUUGUUAACUCGCCUCGGUCACCGGGAAGGCGGAGAAGCGGCUGUCUCAACCCCAGGGAGCGGCGGCGACUGCCCGAGAGGGAGGAACGCGCAUGGGACGCCGGCCGGGGAGCAGACGGCGCCGGGGGCGCUGGCUCGCGGGAGCCUCGACUCCGGACUGCUUCACAAAGCCAAAAGCGGUCCGGUCAACUCACAAGCAUCACCGACUCUGGGCGCGCGGAGGUGA
rnacentral:lncRNA from 1 species